rnacentral:rRNA from 1 species
UACGGAGGGGGCUAGCGUUGUUCGGAAUUACUGGGCGUAAAGCGCACGUAGGCGGCUUUGCAAGUCAGAGGUGAAAGCCCGGGGCUCAACCCCGGAAUUGCCUUUGAGACUGCAUCGCUAGAAUUGUGGAGAGGUAAGUGGAAUUCCGAGUGUAGAGGUGAAAUUCGUAGAUAUUCGGAAGAACACCAGUGGCGAAGGCGGCUCUCUGGACCGAUACUGACGCUGAGGCGCGAAAGCGUGGGGAGCAAACAGG